rnacentral:rRNA from 1 species
AGGUGGUUAGAGCGCACCCCUGAUAAGGGUGAGGUCGGUGGUUCAAGUC